rnacentral:lncRNA from 1 species
GGAAGACAACCUAGGCAAUACCAUUCUGAACAAUUGCUCUUUCAAGAGGCUUAGUUGUGAGUGGUGCAGCAAGAUGAGUGGAAGCAAGCUUCUUUUCUUUUUCCUUUUCUUCCUUCCUUUCUUAAUGGGGAAGAUUUAAAUGUGUUCAUAGUCCUGGGGGAAGGUGCCUGGGGAGAGAGAGGUUGAAGGAGAAGAAAAGCGAGAGCAGUGUUUCUGCAGAAAUAGAAUGGGACUGAGAACCAGACACUGAUGGGGGCUUGCAUUUGGAAACAAGGAAAAUAAGCAAGGGUGGAGUUGUAGUACCAUUUUGUAUUAUAUGUCUCAUAACCCUAGUAUCUGAACUCUCUGUGAUCAGACUUUGCUGCCUGUGGACUUUUCUACGUAUUGAUUUUAGUGUCUUGUUCCUUGUGUAUUAUGUGAUUUUUUUAAAGCUGUAAACUGCUUACUUUCCUUGGAAAUUUGUGGGAAUUCUUUGAGUCCUUAGUUGAGAUUUUAUUCCUCCAGAGAGGAUUUUCUUUGCCUUCUGCAAAUCAUCUCAAGGCAGUACCAUAGUGUUAAUUCAGACAACAAAUCCAUUUGAAGGCUGGCUUGUGGUGACAAGGUCUCAGGGGAGAUUUUCCCCACUCCAACACCAAGUCCAAAACGUAUACAUUUCUUUGUCGUCUUUUGCAUGAUGGGUUUAUUUCUUGUCUACUCUUCCCUUGAGGGUGUAUCCUUUGGGAGGAGGUACCAGGUUUGGGUGAGGUCUCCUAAUACACUGUCUAUAUUAAUGGCAUUUUAGGCUUUACUUCACAAACCCCAAGCGGUUGCAGCUGUCGAAACCGAAACCCAGGGCAAAAGGUGGCUUUGGUGCCUGCUUACUUCGAGUUCUUGCUUUCACUUCAUUUUGGCCUUUGUAGAUUCUCUUCCUUUUGUGCUAGCUCAACGAUGUGGUUUUAUUUUUACAUUCUUACAUAUUUUAUCCAGGGUCUUAGUUUCAGUCGAGAAGGUAGUUCAGGAUAUCAAAUCUGCCCUACUGCUAGAAAAGGAAGCCCGGUGUGCCUGCUAUCGUAACUUUGGUUUUGAUAAGCAAACACGAGCAGUUUUUGACUGCUGGGUUUACAGCAUAGGAACCCUGUUGCUAUGCAGCUGUUGUUGGAAAAUAGUCUGUGGGCUCAGAGUUUCUAAACCAACCGUCUAUUGGAUGCCCAGAGAAGGAAGGAAAGCGAGGGCCCUGGCUUGCUGAUUACAAACCAUCUCCAUGGUCACAGGUUGCUGGGUGCUCCUUUUACGAUGUUUUCCCAGCAGCAUGCAGGCAGCAGUAGCUUCCUUUGAUCAUUUUUCAGUUUCUGUUAUUUGCUAGUGAGAGAAAGUUUAUACCUGCUUGUGGGGACAUGAGUGAAGAAAGAGAGGGGACUUUGAAACAAGAGAAGAGAGCAAACUCAAAAGGUUUUUCAUGGCAGCAUGUGACAAGAUGAUGCUGAAAAAUUUAUAUGGAAAUUCAAAGGAUCAAGAAUAGCUGAAACAUCACUGAAGAAGAACAAAGUGGGCUGAACUCGCUCUACUAGAUAUCAAGAUUUAUAAGCAACUACAGUAUUUAGGACAGUGUAGUAUCGGCACUGGGAGAGAAAAAAAAAAAAAAAAACUAAAAGGAAAAAGAGCCCAGAGACUGACUUUUGUGUAUGUGGACAGUUUGUUUAUGAUGAAAGUACCACUGCUAUGCACUGUGGGAAAAUGUCCUCAAAGAAUGACACUAGGGCAACUGGGUAUCCCCAUGUAAAAACAAUUAACCCUAAUCUCACAUCACACACAAAAAUCAACUCCAUUUGGGGUAUAUACUUAAAUGGAAGGUAAAACUAUUAAUAUAAAGUUUAUAGAGAAUAUUGUUUAUUGCUUUUUUGGCCCCGAUUCUUCUCUCCUCCCUGUGCCCAUGCCCUUUCCCAGGUGACUUUGCAGUUCCUCUCAUAAAAGGGGCAGAUUAUGUUUUUCCUCCCUGGACUCUAUGUUUGGCUUAAGUCCUUUGGUGGAAGUGACAGUGUGCCAUUCUGGGCCUAGGCCUCAAGGGACCUUGAACAUCUCUGCUUGCCCUCUUCCACUUAUGCCAUCCCCAUGAGAAGGAUAUGCCUGAUCCAGCCCACUGACCUUGACAGGGAGAUGAGAGACACAUGGGUAGAGUUCUCUGGUGAAGCUGCCCCAGCCAAACCCAGCCUGGAGCCAAGCCCAGCCAAGAUAAAGUGAGCCCAUCCUGGACCAGCUGACCCAGGCACCUGAAUGAGAACAAAAUAAUUUUUGUUUUCCAUCAUUGAGCUUUGGGUACAUUUGUUAGGCAGCAAUAAACUAACAUCAGAAGGUAAUAUAGGAAAAUAUCUAUAUGACUUCCAGAUAGGCAAAUGUGUUUUAAGCUAGUCACAAAAGUACCUGCUCACCAUAAAGAAAAAGAGUUUUUAUGUUAAAAUUAAGAAUCCUCAUUUAUCAGAAAAUACUGUUAAGAGAGUAAAGAGGCUUGCCAUAAAAUGGAAGAUGAUAUUUGCAACCAUUCAACAAAAAACCAGUAUCGAGAAUAUUUUAAAAAUUCCUACACAGAAUUAAGAAAAGACAGAUUAUUUUACAUUUUAUAUAAAAGUCCAUCCACCUUUUAUAUGUACCUGUUGCACAUAAAAAUGAGCAAAAAGACUUGAAAGAGUAUUUUGCAAAAGAGUAAAUCCACCUGGACAAUAAACAUACGAUAAUGUUCUGAAUCCCAGAAACCAGGGAAAUGUAGAUUAAAGUCAACAACAAAGUGGUAGCUUAGACCCCAAGAUUAAAACAGUGUCAGUGAGAAAAUACCAGUUACAGAGAUAGUCAGGAACCUUUAAGAAACAAGAUGCUGGAUGUUACAUUGAAAAAUAUGUGCUGAGCUGUGCUGCUCUGUAACUACCUGCCCUGUUGUGAAUCUGACCCACAAUGCCUGUGAGAGUGGUGUUUUCUCUGGAGGAUUCAAAGGAAAGGACAGUUGCCUUCUUCCUUGUGUUGCUACAGGGCAGAGAGAAUACUGCAGGAGGUGAGGGGCAGAACAGAGUUUAUAACCUCAACUGCAGUGUGAAAAUGCUGGUUACCUCCACCAUGUCUUACGGUGUAGCAGCCAUAUGUUUUGAGUUGGGUAGAUCCCAACCACCUUCAGGGAUAAGCCCUGAUUGCCCUAAGCCAUUCAUCAUAAUCCCAUUUCCCUGGCCUUGGAUGGCUAUAUAACCUACAUUGAUUCAAUCAGACUGAGGUUCUGGACUCUUGCUCAGUAUUAAACACAUGUAUGACCUAGAAGUGCUGCAGCCAUUUUGCUACUACGAGGAACCCAGUCUGAAGACAAAUUGUGUACAAGGGAAGGGGCAGAGCCAAGAGAAUUAUGGAAUGAAAUCCAGUUUGAUUAGAUCAUGCCUGAAAUUUUCUAAUUACUACACCUUUCAGUUAUAUGAACCAAUGAAUUUCCUUUAUUUUUCAAGCCAGUUUGAGUUGGCUUUCUGCUAGUUGCAAUAGAAGCAUCUGUAGAAAUUAGAGCAACAGGUGAUGAGGAAAGAUGUACUGAAAUUUCCGCAGGAUCUGGUGAUGAGGAGAAGCACAAGUUAUACCACCAAAUAUGGAAUGGAGGCUUAAUAGGUUUAAAAAUAAUAUUAAGGGGGAAGUUUGACUGAGGAACUCUGGCAAAUGCCACUUGACUGACACAUAUGAUAUCUAGUAGCUUAGUGAAGUUUAGGGAUGGUUCCUUGAGAGAAUCAACUAGAAAGCCUUUUAAAACUCCUUUGAAGAGAAUAUAAGCUCUUGAAAAGAUCCCAAAGAUCAAUCAUUUCAUCAAACAGCUGGGGAAACUGAGGCCCAAAGAGGUUAUGUUUUAGUUAGUACUUAAGAUGGGGCCAGGUCCUGGGUGUCCAGAUUUCUCAUGAGGGUUCUAUCAACUCAUGAAAGCUCAUCAUCUUAGAUGUGUAUAAUGAAAAACUUUCAUUUUCAUCUACUCACAUUGAAUCUCAUUGACUCUAUUUUUUCUUCCUCACCCAGCUCUAAAGAUCUUUUAGGAAUUUAGCAGAAAAUAGGUAACUGUCAGUCAAAUUUACCAUCACUUGCUGAUGUGGGGAAUUCCUGGGGUGCCCCAUGUCCAGAUCAGUUAUGUAAGCCCUGAGUGAGAUUCAUCUGUCACAGGCUCAUUGCCUCCUUAGCUCCUGGUGGUUUGAAGCUUCCCUUGGAUUUGGCAUCUUGUCCUGGGUUCUUGCUCCUACUCUCCUUGGGGUUCAGUUCUCUCUCCUGGAUUUUGAGCACAGUGGCACCAACUCCCUUAUUCCUGGUGCAGGUGGAGCCGGCUCUGGCUGUGGUCGUGGAUUCUGCCAUGAUCUCUCCAGGUCCUACCUGAGAAUUUGAUAGUCCUUGACUUUUCUCUUUUUACCCCCAACAUGGCUUUGUCAAGCCCUGGGAUUCUAUCUGAUGUCUACCACCUUUCUUGUCUUUAAACCACUCUUUCAAUCCCCACCUCAUUAUCUUUUGCCUGGACCAUUACAAUAGUUACUAAAGGCCCUAAACCAAAA